AAGGAAGAGACACCAUCCAAUGGAACAGAAGCAUUAAAUGCACAGAACUGUAUGCUACUAAUCAGACCUAAACUUUCUGACAGCACUAUCAAAAAAGUAUUUUUUUCCACCAGGAUCUCCUCCAGUUGCUGCUGUUUCUGUGUUGUUUGACUUCUGUUUCUUCUUGUUCCUGUUAACAUGUGUAGCAUCUCAGUAGUUUCCUGAAUUCGAAGCGUAACUAACAAGACUCAGGAAAAUUCUUUGCCAGAGAUACCAGCUACUGUCAUCAAUACUGCCCAUCCAACACAGGCUACAGUGCCGUGUUCAUACUUUAAACUCUUGGAGAAAAGUCUACCUUGCCUUCCACCCAAACCUGGGUUUUCAAACAGACUUUGGAACAGCUGUGUAGCUGGUUGAAAAAACCAUUCCACCUUCGUCAUCUUCGAGAAGCACCGGAUUUACCCUGCCUGUGUCUUGGAGUAUACAUGCUCACCCCAGUAAGGAUCCUUCAAGAGGUAAACAGCUCAUUUCCUUCCUGCUCUAUUAUUAAACCUCGUAACUCAAAAUCCGGUCACCUUAUUUCACAUUUUUUGGAGGUCGGAGAAGCAGAAUGUUUAACAACACGCAAGCCCGAAUGAGUGCCAUACACAGACAUCUGUCCUUACAUGCAACAAGUCCAUCUACUGAUGAAACUACUUUUGUUCCCCCUCAUCGGUCCUCAUGUUCACGCUGCUUGGAGGCUGAGCAGAUGACAGCACACAGAAAGACCCCCAUUUACUGUGACUGGGGAUUACCACCUGGUUUUCUGCUUCCAUUAGAAACUGAGCCCUAGUAAUAGUAGGCAGUGUGUGUGUGUGCUCAGAGCCAAAACAACACAGUGUUCCUUCUCCAGCUGAGCAGGUCUCUAUUUUUUUUAUUUAUUUAUUUUAAGUAUUUUCAAGUACUCAGUUCCUUCUAAGAGAACCUCCAUUCUUUGCCUUAUUAAUUGCUCUUAUUUUUUCAAAGCUGAGUGAGAACAAGUCCUGUGGCUUAGGUCACACUCAGAAGGAUCUUAUUUACUAAUGCUCCUGGCAAACAAAUUAGUGAGUGCCCGAUUACUGAAUGAAUUAAUGAGGAUUCCCAGUUCACUAUGCAGUUAUUGAGCCUAGUGGCUAUGUUUGGUUUUCUUUUAUAUGCGCGAAGUUCACAAAAUUGAUACUGCUCAUCUGUAUUCUUCCAUGUGCUAUUGAAACAAUGCUCUGGCCACUUUCCUUACAACUCUUUUCAGCUGCUUGGCAACAUGAGUCCAUCAAACAGCUGGUACCUUUGGAGAGCAUUAAAAGCUCUGUAGUUCAUGCUUGAUGCCCAUACCAGACCUACUGUAGUUCCUACUGACGGUUCUGGUCUCAGCGUGCCUUAAAAAUAGAUAUCUUUAUAUUUCAAAAAGACUAGCCUGUCAUGCACUUAAGUGUAUUUAACAUGUCACGGCAUGGUUUGAAUUUUAGUACCUUAACACUCUGUGGUUCCUUUUCUUUUAGCUCUGAACAUUAAAAUCAGAUCCUUCUUACUUCCCUCCUUCCCACCAUGGUUUUAAUUUCAAUUUUUCCUUACUAUUAAAAAUACUGAUUUUAUUACACUGAUUCUUAAAUAGUGUAUCCAGCAGUAGGUACUUUUUUUCCUGAGUGCCUGUAAGCGAGUGUUCAUGAAGCUAUGCACAUGUACGGCUUGCCUGUGAGUACACUGUAGUGAGGACUUUCACUUGAGCCAAAUAAAACCAGAGCAUCUU
rnacentral:lncRNA from 7 species